GACAGAGGUGGCAAGCGUUGUUCGGAUUCAUUGGGUGUAAAGGGUAGGUAGGCGGUCAAGAAAGUCUGAUGUGAAAUCCCAGGGCUCAACCCUGGAACGGCAUUGGAAACUUCUUGGCUUGAGUAUCGUAGAGGUGAGGGGAAUUCUCGGUGUAAGGGUGAAAUCUGUAGAUAUCGAGAGGAAUACCAGAGGCGAAGGCGCCUCACUGGGCGAUUACUGACGCUGAGCUACGAAAGCAAGGGGAGCAAACAGG
rnacentral:rRNA from 1 species